AUGGAUCUUGACAAGACGAACACGGUGGGCAGCGACGGUGCGGCGAAGGGGCAGGACCUAGAGCAGGCUCGCCGCGGCCAGGAGCUUCCCCCGCCUGCCGGCCAUGCCACCAAGGGCCUCGCCGUCGGCCACCUCAUCCGGGAGCUGGUGCUAGAGGGCGUGGCGACGUUCCUGGUGGUGUUCUGGUCGUGCGUGGCGGCGCUGAUGCAGGAGAUGCACCACAGCCUGACCUUCCCCACGGUCUGCCUCGUCGUCGCCCUCACCGUCGCCUUCGUGCUCGGCUGGAUGGGCCCCGCGCACCUCAACCCCGCCGUCACCUUCACCUUCGCCGCCUUCCGCUACUUCCCAUGGCGCAAGCUGCCGCUCUACGUCGCCACGCAGAUCGCCGCCUCCGUGCUCGCCUGCCUCUCCGUCAACGCCAUCAUGAGCCCGCACGACGACAACUUCUACGGCACCGUGCCGAGGCCGCCAGGGGCCGGCGCCCGGCUGCCGUUCCUCCUCGAGCUCCUCGCCUCCGCCGUGCUCAUGAUCGUCGUCUCCACCGUCGCCAUGAGCAACGCCAGCAAGGCGGUGGUAGGGAUCGCCAUCGGGGCGGCGGUCGGGACGCUGGGGCUGGUCAUCGGGCCCGUGUCGGGAGGCUCGAUGAACCCGGCGAGGAGCCUGGGCCCGGCGAUCGUCUUCGGCCGCUACACCUCCAUCUGGAUCUACGUCACUGCGCCCGUCGCCGGCAUGCUGCUCGGCGCGCUCUUCAACAAGGGCGUCCGGCAGUCCGACGCGAUCGUGGGCUUCCUCUGCGGCGGCAGGGGCGCGUCCAGCAGGGUGGUCGUCGUCGGUCGCUCCGUCACAGGAGCGCCUGGAACGAACUAG
rnacentral:rRNA from 1 species